GCCAAAACAUUAAUAAUAGUAACCUUUUAAUAAAAAUUUAUUAUCAUUAUAGUAAUCAAACCAUCUUUAGAAAUAACAAGGAAGAUCACACCCACCCACCGACCCACCCACAAAACUACAGCCAUCAAUCCAAAUACUCUUUUACACGCACACACAAAACGACAGCCAUCAAUCCAAAUACCAUUUUACCUCCGCGGAAUCGAUAUGAGCAACUACCUGUGCCUUAAAUGACUAACAAAAUCGGGGGCAGCCAUUUUGAAGUAUGCCCUCUUCCAUCCAGGAGUUUAAUGUGAUAAUAUCAUCAUCCCAUUAAUCAAUCCAUGAAAAGUUUAAAUUUAUUAAAAAUUUACCCUUUUUCUAAGAGAAUGAUGUACAAGGCUAUAGAUUCAUAUCCUAUUCCGAAGAGUCAAUUUCUAUAGUAGAAAUCCUGCCAAAUUGAGCCAAGUAGGAGAAAUUCGACAUUUUGCCUCUAUUGGAGAUGGGGGAUCUCUUCCUUCUACCCAGGAAUCCUUUCCCAUUAAGUGAAUCAAAUAAAGCUCCCAUGUCCAUUUCCUUUUUGAUGUUAUUUUCGUCCUCUAAGCUACUAGAUAGAUGUGCUGCCCCUGAACACCGAUGACCUUUAUACAAAUCUUGAAAAUAAACACGAAACAGAUAGAGGGGAUAAUAUAGAUGUGACCCAAAUGUAUGUAAAAUGUCUAAUCAAUUCCCAAGAUGCCAGCCAUGAAGGACAAAGAGGAAAAGAAACCAUACCGCUGGCGAAUAAUUUUGAAAGCUUCUUUUGUUGCAUAAGGUAGCCCUGUCUCUGGAUCACGAUACCUACAGCAUGAAUUAAUAAUUUAAACACAAAGGUUAUCCAUAAAGCAUAGUUGUGUUAGUGCAAGUAUACUUGUCUAUCAGCCAUCAAAUUGAUAUGAAAAACAAAUUUGCAAAGGCUGCUUAGCAUGUCAGCGCAUCAGCUUGCCUGCACACAAGUUGAUGAGAUGUCAUAGGUCUUUGCACAGCAAGAAACCAAUUCCAGAAACUUUGUUUAGUUGAAUCUUGCUUAAUGCUUAUUAGUGCAUUAGCAAGAAAUAAUGCCUAAAUGACCAGUUUUUCUUUUCUAAAUGUUGCACAAAAUAAAAAACACACAGUAACAACUAACAACCACUCAAUUACUGUAAAGAUUUAUUUUCUUAAGAAAAGAAUUCUGGAUCAACCACUCAUAAAUUGAUCCUUCUAUGAGGUGCUGUUUUCAUUGAACUCCACUCAAUCAGUGGCCAUCAUUAAAAAGCUCUUUGCCUACCACUACUACCAUUCCAUUCAAAUUCAAAGUGAAUGGUGAUGUGGCCACAAGCAUUCAACUUAUCGAGGUAGUAUGCAAAUGCAGAAUGUUCAAAGACUGACCACAAGAUAGAUCAUUAGUUAACUUUAUCAACUCUUCAUUUUUGUCCAUUUUAUUUAAUUUUUUGAAUUGAUUAGCGUACACAUAACCAAAACUCAAGGGGAUAUGCACCAACAGAAAACCACAUACUCACAAACUACAAUUGCUUAUAAAAUAUCAUCUCAAUUCAAAAGGUUGCAAUCACAUUAAUGCAGUCAAGGAAAACUAGAUUUAGAAAUUAUUUUUAUUUGAUUCUUAAUUGGGAAAUUAAGACCCUUAAUUCAAAUUUUUUAGUACAAUUAGGAAGUUUAGGUUUAUAUUAUUUAGGAAUUCUGUUAUUAUUAGGAAUAUUUAAAUUGUUAUAGUGGGUUUAGAAUUUUCCACUUUGCAAUUCCUAACCUUAGUAGUAGUAGGAUUAGUUAUUAGUUUAUAAACACAUAAGUAAUCUAGGUGUUUUCCUAAAGUUUUAUUAUAUGACAAUUGAGAAUUAAUAAAUAUGAGACCUUUGUUUCUUCUUUGAGAGUGUUCUGGUUCUACAUCACAUGCUAGCUUAAACUGAUAUUUCAAACAUACAAUGACUAAUCACCACCAACAUGAAAAUGAGCCUUACUUGGCAGGCAAACCUGUUACAGCACACACGGCCUUCUCUGGAUCUGAAAUAGAUCAAUAUGAAAAUUCAAAAUCAAAGUAGUAAAGAACAUAAUAUCAAUAAAACUCUCCAGAUUCGAAAGAAAAAAUGUUAAGCAUAUAUAAAUGCCUAAACCAGCAAAAAAAAAAAAAAAUUUUUUUACCUCAUUCCAACUUGUCUAAACCUGAAGCCUAUAACAUUUAAGGAGGUAAAGCUUUUGAAGACCAUAAAACUAGGGCAAAAAUCUAAAUCCCAAUGAUAUCUCCUUCAUUUUCCAAACACAAAUAAAUGGCCAGGCUCUAAGGAAUCAUCUAUAAAGGAACAGAUUAAAAAGGGUGGUACUGAACUCUUCAUUUGCACCUUGAUCAUAGAAGGCAGUUCUCUUGAACUGCUAAGUUCAAACCUUAUAUUCCGAGUAGAAAAAGUCAAUUCAAAACUAACAGGCCAUGUUUCUCCUUAUUUUUAUAUAAAUUCAGAAAGAUGUUCAAACCAGUUAUAUAGAAAUCCUCCAUAUCAUGCACAAAAAUUGUGCCACUCUGCCAGACAAUGCACACAUGCACUAAAUGCUGUGUAAAGAAAAAUAUUGAUGUAGCAUUCUCUCCAUAUCCAAUAGAAGACCAGCUGUCUACAUCAUGAAAUCUUCAUCUUUCAACUGAUUAUGCUCAUGCAUACCAGAUCAAGUAAAUAUUAUGGCAGGGGGUACAAAGGUUAAAUGCAGAGGCUCUGACAAAAUGUAUCAAGAGCAAGAGGCUCUUCACUAAUGCAUUGAGACAAAAUUUAAAACAAUGACAAAAGAAAAUAGCUCCAUUGACCAUCAACUUAUAGGGUGGUGAUUGUAUGAAACUUUGAACUGGUUUCUGUUUUCUCCAGAAACCAUCACCAUUGUCACUGACACAAAGCUUGAAAGCACAAUACUUAAAGCUUAACUUACAUGGAACAGAUGCAGUUGAAAUCUCUGACUGAAAUGAUACUCCUCUGAAUUCUAGAUAUGACAAACCAUCUUUAGAGAAAUAUCGUAUCUGUGGGCCGCUGUAGACAGCUUUAUGCACAAUUGCUCUUUUCUUAACUUCUUCUUCCCUUGCCAAAACACGCUCUAAAUUCCUCAAAUUCAUGAUUUCUGUUUGAGCAGCUUCCAGAAGCAUUUCUUCUUGUGUCAUCCUCUUCUCUUCACCUUCCUUUUUUCGUUUUAUAGGCUUUAUUGUAGCCUGCAGAGCUGCACGUAUUGCAUCUCUCUCAGCUUGUCUAACAAUAACUGAUGUUCUUGUAGAUUUCCUUACUAUUCUCUCAACUUCACCAUCAUCAGGGGUAUCAUGUUGUUCUGGGGCAGUAGACUGCUCAGCUGAUUUUUCAUCCUUGGAAGCCCUAUCUAUCUUGGAAAGGACUUUCUUCUUCUUUUUCUUCUUUGUCCUCAUCAUCUGAGCUUUCCACCUGCUUAUUGUUAUAAGCAUUCAUAAGUUUUCCAUACUCUGCCUUCCUUUUUGCAGCUUUGGCUUCAUAUGGUGAUUUUUCAGCUGCACUCAAAGAUUUCCACUUUUCUCCUCCAGCUUUCCCGACAGCAGAAACAGCCUUCACAUUAGGAUUCUCCUUUUUAAAUGUCUUCCUGAAUUCCUCAAGGAAUACGAAAAAGGCACUGGGAGGCCUCUUAGGCUUAUUGGGAUCUUUCUUUGCCUUUUUAUCCUUUGUGACCUUCUUUUUGGCGUCCUUCAACGUGGCUUUUCUCUUCCCCAUCUUUCGGUCCUCAACAGGCUUCAACGCCGACCUUGUUUCUUUUCUCAAUGCACCUUUUCCUUUUCCACCCUUCAUUGAAACUUAAAACUGCCAGAAGAGGAAGAUAAGAAGGUGUUGGCAGAAGCACCGAAAGUGAAGAAGAAAAGAAA
rnacentral:misc_RNA from 1 species